rnacentral:lncRNA from 1 species
UUUAUAAUUUUUGAAAUGUUAUUUCAUUCAGAAUAAUAUUAUUAUUUGCAAAUAUCAGUCAUCUAUAGUAUAUUCUUUUCAUUUUAUUGAAUUUACGAAGGAAUCUUUUUUACUCAGUCUAUAAUAUUAAUUAUGUUUUAAAAUUUCACUUUAAAGUUUAAAUAAUUUAGAGCAGUGUUUUCCAACCUUUAUGCUGAGGCGGCCCUUAAAUGUCCUUUUUAUAAGUUGAACACUGUGAGACUGUUACAAUAAUCUUAUAUGCGACAUUUGCAAUCUGUUUCACCAGUGACAAUGCAAUCGAGAAUGAGGUAACAAUUUCUGGUUUUUAGCCGUCAAGAUAGACAUAAGAAAAUUUAUUGAAUUUUUAAUGAAGUUAUUCUAAUGAAACAUUGUAUUUGACGGAUACAUAAAAUUGAUCGCCUUCUAGGAUGUGAUUCAUUCAGAAUUUAUCAGGGUCAAUGUGUCAUAGUUUGGACAAAUACAAGCCAGUGAAAAUACAAGGAAGACCAAUAAUCCAAACAGAAAACAACAAGUUGAGAAUUUUCAACAGACAGGAUGUAGAUAGACUGAAACGGUAUCUAGGGGGAAUAUUCCGAAAAAAACCAGACGUGUUGAGACCUUUAUUGGGGCAGAUUGACAUAAGUGUUAAUUACCAGGGGGCAACAAGUCUUGGUUCGGUAUUCAUCUCAAGAUAUUUGUAUUCGAAUAAUACACAACCUGUCAUUGUUACAUGAAAUGGGUUAAUGGACAUAAAAAUAUUAAAAAAAUUAAGGGUACCUGAAAUUAUGACAUUACAAAAUAUAGUGAUAAUAAUGAUAAUAUUUUUAACUUAAAAUUAAUAGAUAAAUCUAACAACAGGUUAUCAUAUAAUGAAACAAUAGGGUAUGUUAGAAAAAAUUGUAGAAUUUUGAAUCUAAAAGAAACUCAUGAUCUAGUCUGUAAUAAAGAACACGAUAUAACACACUGUCAUGAUCCUGUAACAGAUGUUAUUUAUACAAAGUGUAUCUUUAAUUACAAAAUAAGUAAGAUUAAACCUAAAAAAUUAAUUAAGUUAUGUAGAUACAGUAUAAGAAUAAAUAAUGAAAGUAAAUUUAUGUAUUACAGAUAAGAAGAGGCGUGAGUGCAAAUAGUCUUUAGUUUAAUAAAUAAAAAAAAAAAAAAAGGGAAAAUGAGCGAGGGUAUAGAAGCCAGGACAGUUAAAGUAAAAUAAUUUUUAAGACAUUUGAAUAUAUUGUCGCGUCCCGCGUAGUCACAAAGUAUAAAACACACAUUAUAAGAGUUUCUCAUGAACAUCGAAACCAGACGUAUGAAUAAGUUAAAUUGUUCACAUGGUUAUCUGUUUAAGUAAGAAUAUGAAUAUCGGAGUCACAUACACGUGGGUAGUUGACCACAUCCUGGAUCUUGUAUUAAGUAUGGGCUGGUCAAGAGAUAGUACACGCAUACAGAAUCAAUAGAGAAUUAUCAUAUUUUAGAGCACACACACACAGAAUCAAUAACGACUCAUCACAUUUAUCAUAUUAAAUUAUCAUUUUUCAUUUACCCACACACAUUUAAGAUUUACACACACACAUGCAGAUAUCAGAUAUAAAAGUGGGUCCCGAACAGGCCUUAUUCAGACGAGUUUUGGCUAUGCUGCACUGAGCACCUUCACUUAGAAAUAUUUCAUAUUAUUUUUAUAAGUAACAAUUGUUAGG